rnacentral:rRNA from 1 species
AACGAACGCUGGCGGCAGGCUUAACACAUGCAAGUCGAACGGUUGUAGCAAUACAGCAGUGGCAGACGGGUGAGUAACACGUGGGAACCUUCCUAGGGGUACGGAACAACUCAGGGAAACUUGAGCUAAUACCGUAUACGUCCGUGAGGAGAAAGAUUUAUCGCCCUUAGACGGGCCCGCGUAGGAUUAGGUAGUUGGUGGGGUAAUGGCCUACCAAGCCUACGAUCCUUAGCUGAUCUGAGAGGANGAUCAGCCACACUGGGACUGAGACACGGCCCAGACUCCUACGGGAGGCAGCAGUGGGGAAUCUUGGACAAUGGGCGCAAGCCUGAUCCAGCCAUGCCGCGUGAGUGAAGAAGG